GUGUGAAGAAGGCCUUCGGGUUGUAAAGCACUUUUAUCGGGAGCGAAAUACCAUUGGCUAAUAACCGAUGGGGCUGACGGUACCCGAGGAAUAAGCACCGGCUAACCUCGUGCCAGCAGCCGCGGUAAUACGAAGGGUGCAAGCGUUAAUCGGAAUUACUGGGCGUAAAGGGUGCGUAGGCGGUUAGUUAAGUCUGUUGUGAAAUCCCCGGGCUCAACCUGGGAAUGGCAAUGGAUACUGGCUAGCUAGAGUGUGUCAGAGGAUGGUGGAAUUUCCGGUGUAGCGGUGAAAUGCGUAGAGAUCGGAAGAAACAUCAGUGGCGAAGGCGGCCAUCUGGGACAACACUGACGCUGAAGCACGAAAGCGUGGGGAGCAAACAGGAUUAGAUACCCUGGUAGUCCACGCCCUAAACGAUGCGAACUGGAUGUUGGUCUCAACUCGGAGAUCAGUGUCGAAGCUAACGCGUUAAGUUCGCCGCCUGGGGAGUACGGUCGCAAGACUGAAACUCAAAGGAAUUGACGGAAUCACUA
rnacentral:rRNA from 1 species